GGCGGAAUAGUUCAGUUGGUUAGAACAACGGAAUCAUAAUCCGUAUGCCGCGGGUUCAAGUCCCUCUUCCGCUA
rnacentral:tRNA from 1 species